GCCUGGUUAGCUCAGCUGGUUAGAGCGUCGUACUAAUAAUUACUUUCCAGUAAUUAUCGGUAAUGCGAAGGUCAACAGUUCAAUCCUGUUACUGGGCA